AUACGGAGGAUCCGAGCGUUAUCCGGAUUUAUUGGGUUUAAAGGGUGCGCAGGCGGCCAUUUAAGUCGGCGGUUAAAUCGUGGGGCUCAACCCCAUUCUGCCGUUGAUACUGGGUGGCUUGAUUGCGGUCGAGGUUGGCGGAAUUCGUUGUGUAGGGGGGAAAUGCAUAGAUAUGACGAAGAACACCGAUUGCGUAGGCAGCUGACCAGACCGCAAAUGACGCUCAUGCACGAAAGUGCGGGGAUCGAACAGGAUUAGAUACCCUGGUAGUCCGCACAGUAAACGAUGAAUACUUGUUUUCGGCGAUAUAAUGUCGGAGGCAAAGCGAAAGCGAUAAGUAUUCCACCUGGGGAGUACGCCGGCAACGGUGAAACUCAAAUGAAUUGACGGGG
rnacentral:rRNA from 1 species